AUAUCCCAUUAAUUGAACAACUUAUAUGUCCAAUAUAAGUUGGUCUAUCAUCAUUGUCAUGUCUAUCAUCAUUGCCUUUAUCAUUGCCUUUAUCUACCUCCCAAUAAUUCACAAGACAUUUCCUCAUUAUUUAAAUUGGAGAAUAAAAAUAGCAUAAUAGUAGUCUAAAACCAUCAAGCAAUCACUAGAAAUUACGCGUUUAUUAGUUCCCGUGUCCCUUGGUUAAUAUGGGUUAAGGAAGAGAUUGGCAUCAACUUUUACAGGUAAGAACAAAUCGCAUAACGUUCACGUAAGAAGAGUACUGUGUAAUUUGUUUUCAGUUAUUGUAGAAAGGCUAAACAAGACACAAUUAGAAGAGUACUUCAGCAUAUGAUAUUAAACAAUGCGUCCAACAAAAGAUGCACUUACGUUUUCAUUUGUCCAUGAAGGGACUCCAAAAAAUACAUAUUUCGGAUUACGAAAAGCAGCUACCUGUUCAGUUGCUGGAAUUUUGUAUUCGAGGUGUUAUAAAAAGGUUAAAUAAAACACACUUUCGACAUGUGCAUAUUAAAUGGUUGGAUUUGAUAAAAGCAGCUUCAUGUUCAUUCUGUGUUGUAUCUCUGUUAUUAUAGCUUGUUUCAUGUUCUAUGAUGUCUUUGUUUACUGUUAUUGUGUCCUGAGUAGGGUGUCUAUAGGAAAUGACUUCUCUACUUCUUCGGAGAUAGUGGGUAUGGACUGUGUACAUUAUACCCUCCCCAGAUUCCACUAUGCAGGAAUAUACUGGGUUUGUUUUGUUGUAUGAUGUGCUAUGUACUUUGGAUAUCCCUAUUGUAUUUAGGAUAUUGUACGUCUUUAUUUUCUUUUAAUAUGAUGUGCUAUGUACUUUCUGCUCACCAAGUAUAUGACCUUUUGAUAGGAGGUUGUGGAGGAUACGGUUACAUUAGUAGGUUAGUAGGUAGUGGUAGUAGAGUGUGGUUUUGCGUAUCCUUCCUUAUUAGUUGUCGUAGCAUUACUUGAAUGCAUUUGUUGUUGAUAUCGCUCAUUGAGUUCUUAUGGGAGACUCCUUUAAUCCUUCCCUUGGGACAAAGUCUAUGGUCACAACUGCUAUCACUACCAAAAAUGAAUCUAAACAACACAUCCUUUCUUCUGGCUCGAACUCUUGCAAAUGUAAGACAGAUUGAUCUGAUAAAAUAUGGGAAGCAGAGAAGGGGAAGUGGUAAUCAGUUAGUUUUGUUUCUGGUUAAAGUUGCUGCCUUGAAGGCUGUGCGGAGGAUUUCAAGGUCCAAAUGUCCAUUGGUAUGGUCUGGCCGGCAAGCUCUGCAAGUUGUGUGCUACCCCCUAUUAAAUGGAUUCAAAACAAAGGUGGAAUCCAUUUAGGGUUCUGGUUGAAGGCAUGUAGGUUAGUAUGCAGUUGUAAAAUUCAAAUGAACUAGUGUUGAGUCUCGUGAACUCCUCUAGGUGCAUACAGUUAUUUUGGAAACUGUUGUACUUGCCUGUGUCAAUGGGUACAUCAAUUUUGCAUAAUUGAGAAAGAAGUAUAUGAUUAUGAUCUUCUCGUGAACUCCUCUAGGUGCAUACAAUCAUUCUGGAAAAUGUUGUCUUGCCUGUGUCAAUGUGUGCAUCAAUUUUGCAUAGUUGUGAAAGAAGUAUAUGAUCCUAAUUCCUAUAUCAUCUGAUAUAAGGGGAUUAUCUAGUGCUGCUGCUUUUCAUUUGUGGGUUUAUACACAGAGACGAGAGAAACAACAUAAGACAAAGUAGAGUUAUGCUUGUAUAAAGUUUUACAUAUUAAAUCCACUUAAUUUAUGAUUAUAAUCAAAGAAGCCCACGGAGCGGUGCCAGUUAGUGCUUCGCUCCUUCCGCUAAGACUGCUGUGUUGUUUUUUUGAACGGGAAUAUUUUAUAGAUAUAUGUUGGUCUAUUUUAUAGGUUCCAUUAGCUUCAAAACAAGGAUGAACUUAGCAUAAAUGUAUUCUGCUAUGGAAUGUUGACUGUUGCAUAUUACAGGUAGCAGUACUCUUUUUGUAAGAUAAUACUAUAGCCAAUUGGAAAGCUAAUUUAGUACUUAAAAUUGUCCUUUGAGGCCCUUCUAUGUAUUAAGGAUCAAUUGAAUAUAAUUGAUAAAGAACAGAGGCAUAUCUAGUGAGAAAUAUAUUCUUUUUCUGUUUCUAUCACGCAUCAGUAUAUUUGUGAGAGAGUUUAAAUAAUACUUAACUUACCUUUUGUUCAGUGCAUGCAUCCCAGCGACCAUGUAGUUGGUUCCCUCCCAAGUAAAGAGAAUGCAAAGAUAUUUUUUCCGGUUCCUGAGAGAGUUCAAUGUAACAGACGGCUAUUUCUUUUCCUUGUUAUUCAAUCCAUGAACCCAUUUUAAAGUGAUCCUAAUCCUUGUGAAGUUGAACUACAACUCUCACUUGAUGUUUCUAUAGUAAGAGCAUGAGCGUAAAACAUACCUGUGUUGUGUAUGUAAAAGCUUCUGUACAAGCAGAAUGAAUAUAUUACAUCUUUAUGUAGCCUCCCAGUCUUGUCUAAGUUUUUAGUUUUUUUUUUUUACAUUCCCUUUUGUAACAAAUGUCUGAAAUUGUAAUUGUAACACCAUAGAAAUUAUUAAGUGGAUAACUAAUACAUAUAUACAGCUACAGGCGAUUUUUUUCUUGCUUCCUUAUGUUGGAAAUAGAAAUAGCUAUCAUAUGUUACUGAUUUACUUGGGUAUAUACAUAUAAUAUGCUAGAACCUCUUUCCAGCUUUUAGGACGAUACAAGGGAUUUAGCGUGUGAUGUCUUAAGUUACAUGUUUCUUUUUCAAUUGCUUCUGGAUUUAUUUCUAUAAACCAUUGUUGGAUUUAUCCCUAGACAUAUAAGCAACCAACCCAACUCAGAGCAAGGUUUUGAGACUGAAUUGGUAAGUUGAUGAGUUGUACGACUUUCAUGCUCUUGGAGGGUUAGCAAUGAAGUCUCCUAAAGUCUGUCUUCCACUAGUUCCGCAAGUUGGUUGCAUCUGCUCAACAAAGAACUGGAAAAGCAAGGAAUUUUCUUACCAGAGAGGAUCAAGAUGAAACGAUUGAAGAUUGAAAAUGAGGACGGAUCAACCGGAAAGAGUACUAUGUAUACAUUUGUCACACCUUGAAUAAAGAUAGAACAUAUUUCUUUCUAUAUUUUGCAGGCUCAAAUAGAAGAAAUUGUGAAUGCAGAGCCAUCUUUAUCUAGCAUAGAGAUUGUUGAAAAGUGUUUUGGACCUCAAAAUCGUAGCCAUGUUGUUGCCUUUGGGGAUUCUGAAGAUUAUUGAAGGCAAAUGAAGAUGCAAGCUUUGAAGAUGCACAAACUCAUUAUUAUUUUUCUAUGUAUGCAAAUGUUAUGAAAAAUUUGAUAUUAUAUACUCUAGCUCGAUCGGAAUGGUAAUUAAGUUUUUUGUGAAACAAAUAUUGAAACUAUUUAAUAUCAUGGGAUGUUAACUAAAUAUUUUGAUCUAUAAUUAUAUCAUGCUUUUGUAUCGAGAUUCUCGAUAGCAAUUUGAUAUUUAUUUUAUGAAAUUUAUUAUUUUGUGAU